AGCAGGAGGCGGGGUCCGCCGGCGCUGCGGUAGGCGUGGCCAUGUGCCUCCCGCGGCACAUGGCCACGCCUCCUGCGGCGCCGGUGGGGGGGGGCGCAAUUUCCCCCCUCGCUUUAUAUAUAAAUUUAUCUCCGGCCGGCCCUGGUUAUGAUUAUGAACUUUUUUCCAGAAAGCAUCAACUGACUGUAAAUUUCAUUAUACCCUUUGAAAUGGUAUCUAUCUGAUGCUAUAUACAGUACUCUAUUCAAAAAUAGUGCUCCAUGCUUAACAUCCCAGGAAAGAAAAUCACAUUGAUAUCUUCUUUCUCUUUUUUCUGUAUCUUUUUCCUCCCAGCCUGGUCUCUAACUUUUAAAGGAACAGGAGCAAUCUUUCUUUUGCAUACCUGCUUGGCUACAUUAAAACAAUUGAAGGACAUUAUUGCAUUCCGUUGUUUUGAGCAGUAAAGCCCAUCAAUUUUUCCAGUGUCUCAAAGCUUUGAGAUGUCACGUAUUUACAAGGUUUUAAAAAAAUACAUUGUAGUUGUAAGAAAAGUGCUUUGGACAAGCUACAUCAUCUUUCAAAACACAAAAAAAUGGGUUUUGAAUGAUUUGGUGAAUAGCUGUUGUGAAGCUCUUAUGUUAGGAUUAGUUUUAUUAGUAAUCUCCAGGUGUUUUUUUCUUAACAGUCUCAUGUGUUCAGAGAGUUAGAUCGUAUUGACAUUUCCAUGGCAACACGUUGUGACAUUUCCGAGGCUGACACGAAGCCUUUAAAUUAGCAGGAUGGGGUGAUCAAGACCAAGUGGAAAUCUGUAGGGUUGUCAUGAAAAAAGCAAUAAAUAGAUAAAUCUAGUUUUUAAAAGUGUGGUGUAGAAAAUUUAAUUGGAUUUGAACAAUAUUGUCAGUUAAAAUUUAAGCUAUUUAAUGAACAAGUGAUGACUUAAGAACAGAACAUGUUUUCCACCUCACCUGAACCUUGAUUAUUCAGCUCAAAUGAUUAUUGAUGCUCAUUGUUCAUCCCUAACAUAUGCUAAAAGUCUGUGCAAAUUGGUAUAAAUAGGUAACAACAUCUAAUUACCGGAACCUUUUGAAUGUCAGAUGCCAUCCGUGGCUGUAGGUUACUGAAAUUUCAUUACAGAACUUCUAGGCUGUAGCAUUAUGAAGACAGAUUUGCUUUAACAGGACUCAAGAGUCUCUUUUUAUAAUGGCACAAUAUUUUUGUAGAUGACCCACUUGCUUUCAUGACUGAAGUAAAGUACAGAAUUCAUGUAGGACCAGGAGAGAUAGGAGAGAUACUUGUCCUUGUAGAGUUUACUUAUUUCUUAUGCAUUAUCUGGUGAAUUCCCAUUGGGGAGAUAGAGCGGGAUAUUAUUAUUAUUAUUAUUAUUAUUAUUAUUAUUAUUAUUAUUAUUAUUAUUAUUAGAGGACAUUGGUUCUCUAAAGUAACAAAGCAUGAGUUCUAUAUGUGUGCUUAAUCUUUGAGGAGAGAUCACUUCUGUCCUGAGUCCAGAAGGCAAAUAUGUGCAGUGCCUCAUACUUCUUCUGUUCCUACUUCUGUGCAAUAAUCAAAACUCUGCUGAGAAAAUGAUAAGAGGUUGAGAUCAGAAAUCAAUUCACACUCUACAAAUAUAGCACUGUGAUUCCACUUUGAUUACCAUUGUUCCAUCCUUUAGAAUCCUAAGAUUUGAACAAGUGGCUUUCCAUUUUCUUCCUUAUGCACCAAGAUUCAACCAACCAUGGUUCAAAAAUAUCUUGGCUUGUGUGUGUGUGUGUGUGUGUGUGGGGGGGGGAUCUUAAAAGCAAACCUUUAUCUCAUGAGGAACUGAACACUAUGCUGAUUUGUAGAUAAACCAUGUUUCAGCCUUCCACAAUUUUGCAUAUCCUUAGGUUCUCUCUGGCAUUUGUUUCAGUUGUUUGACAUUUUAUAUGAGGGCAACAUUUUAGCUAUAUAUAAUGGGAGCAUCCAUGAAUUUUGAUAUCAAUUGGGGGGGGGGGGUCAUAGUACCAAAUGCCAAUGGCUAUCCGAGGGUCAAGUUUAAUUUGGCCAAAAGGCAAACUCCAGGAUCCCAUAGAUUUUGGAACCAUGGCACUCAGAACCUCAUCAUGUGGAAGUUUUCCUCCCUUUCUACACAUUUCUACACACUUCAAAGACGGACUCACACAGAGCUUAUCAAACAACGGAGGGCUGCUUUUGGUGGUUGCUUGUGGGAUUCCGUCUCUGCAGCGUGUAAAGAAUUUCAAAGAUGGGCAGUAAUAGACUUCACUUCCUGCACUUAAAAAUUGGUAUUUUCCCUUGUGAAGUGAAGUAGCUGAUUUGUCCGAUGACUUUUUGAUGUUUCACUGUGGAUGUUCAUGUGGGCAAUGCUCCUUCUGCCAAUGCUACUUCUGUUUCCAUUAGUGGUUUAAAGUGCAUUUAUUUAUUUAUUUAUUUAUUUAUUUAUUUAUUGUAUUUAUAUUCCGCCCUUGUCACCCCGAAGUGGACUCAGGGCGGACUGCAAUUCACAUAUACAUGCCAAACAUUGAAUGCCAUUAGACAUACAACAUAUAGACAGACACAGAGGCAAUUUAACAUUUUCCAGCUUCCGGCUUCAUGAGGAUAUGCUCAAUUCCAGCCACAGGGGGAGCUGCUGCUUCAUCGUCCACUUGUGACACCAAGUCCUUGAUGGUAGUACUUCCUCAUUCCUUUCUGCACGCUGCUGGCAGUUUUAUGGUGUUGUAAAUUAGUUAGACUAGCCUCCCUGCAUAAAGCGGUACCUAUAAUUUUCUACUCAACAGAUACAACUGUUUUUCGAGCUGCUUAGGUCAACAACAAGCUAGACUAUUAACAGUUGGGAGCUCUUUCCGACCUGGGCUUCGAUCUCAUUACCUCUCAGUCAGUAGUGAUUUAUUGCAGCUGGCUACUAACGAGCUAUGCCACAGCCUGGUUGCAUUUUUAAAAAAUGUGCCUGUCUCCUUUAGUGUAUGACUUCAGUGGAACAAACCCACGGAUUCCAAAAGGAGAGAAUGCUUGCCUCCUUUAGUGUAAGUGGAUUCAGGGGAAUGAAAAGUGAGGUUUUCAAAAGGAUGCCUGUUUCAAAAAGUGUGCUGAUAUCCUUGAAAUGGUUGAGCUAGAAAGGGGAGAAGGUGAUUCUGUGUGAUGGGGGUGAGUACAUUUUCUGUCUUCCUUAAUGAUGGAACCCCAUGAAACACCACACAAAGAAGACUAUUCCACCCGCUUUUGCCCCCUUGUGGGGUGAAGUCCUCAGUGUGAAAUAGUUACACAAUGGUGUGGUGUAAAUGGUUCCUUGGUGCUAUCAGGAUGCCAUCAAGACUUUCAUAGGCACAUUUGGGUGGAAUAUGAAAAAGGGUCUUCUUUGUGUUUGUCCCAAAUCCUGGAAUUCCUGUCCUAGGAUACUAGGCGGGUUUCCUCCUUGCAAUCCUUUCACCAUCAAGUGAAGACUUCAAUUCCAGCAACUGAGUCGAUUCCUAAAAAAAUGUUUGUUUUACAUAUAAAGUGCCUUUCUUUUAGUGAGCUGUACUGUUUUUAGUCUAUGCUUUUAAAUUAAUAUUUUAUAUGGUUUUAAUUUUAUAGACAGAUUCAUAGUAUUUUAAUCUUAAUGUUUUGUGUGUUUUUACCUCCAUAUGGUUUUACUGUAUUUUAAAAAUUCUGCCUUUAGUUUUAGUCUUGGAGAAAAAGCAGGGAUAUAAAUGAAGUGGUUGGUUGACUGCUUACUUGCUUGGAUGCAUCCCAAGAUUUGCUUUUCUUUCCAUCUCUUUCCAGGGAGGAUGUAGUGCAGGGGUUGUUGUUUCUGCUGUUUUAAUUGUAUUCAUAUCAUGUCUUUCUUCCAAAAUUGGGACUAAAGGCAAUUUAAAAUAAGUACAAUAUAGUUAAAAACAUGCAAAGUGCAACAUUAAAUGAAAUUAAAUUAUUCAUAAUAUUAUUUAGAAAAACAUUUCAAUUUUUUUUAUAAAAAAUCAGUUUAAAAGAAUUAUGUAUAAAUGUCAACUUCAGCCAACAAGAUGUUCUUAGUCUGCAACUCCUAUAAUCCAUUACUGCUAGCUAAUUGUCUUGGGCUAAUAGGACCUGUAAGACAAAAAAGGACGGACCAUAACUGUCCACACUUUGGUCCUGAAUAAGUGUCUGAGAGCAUUGAUGGGCUGAACAAAGACUAACAAUGUAAAGCUUAACUCCACUAGGUGAAGAUGACAUUUAUCAAGAAUACUGUUGUCUCAGUGAUAGUUGGGCUACUUGUGUUGGAGUUGCACUCUCCUUCAAAAAAUGGCUUUGCAGUUUUAUUAGUGCACUUCAAUCUAGAUUGGUUGCAUCAAGACUGCUAUAUUGAGGUUGACUUUGUAAACUCCAGAUGUUACAGAAAUGUUGCAGUGCAAGUGCUGAUCCCAAAUAAUCUGGUGAAAGAGAUUUCCUCCCUUACAAUUAAGCUUCCUCACAUGGGAGUUAGGGACAAUUUUACUAUAUUUAAGCACUUUUGAGGUUUGCUUCUAAGUGAAGGGGGCAAGUCCAUAUUCCUGUGAGUAACCAUUGCAGUCCUCCAGCUCCACAUCAUUGCUCAUAUCUAUGCUCAAGAGCAGUGGUUCUUAACCUGUGGGUCCCUAGGUGUUUUGGCCUACAACUCCCAGAAAUCCCAGCCAAUUUACCAGCUGUUUGGAUUUCUGGGAGUUAAAGGUGAAAACAUCUGGGGACCCACAGGUUGAGAACCACUGUUCUAGAGGGCUUACUCCCAAGUUAGCAGAUAUGAAAUUAGACUAUUAGAGAAUAAAAACUUACUGUUAAUCAAAUGGUAGGUCUGCUUGUUUUGUUUUCGAACGAGACCUUCAUAACUGUGGAACCCAUAGCUGUUGUUUCACUUAUCCAUGCCUGGGGGAAAUGAUCUCUCUAGGUCAAUGAUUCUCAGCUUGGGGUCCCCAGAUGUUUUUGGCUUUCAACUCUUGGAAAUCCACUGCUCUAGGUAUUUGCCAGUUUUCUCAGAAAAUUCUAUGAUAUGCUUUCCCCAGGGGUUAGUAUAGAGCAGUGAUUAUCAAACUUUGCUCCUCCAGAUGUUUUGGACUUCAGCUCCCAGAAAUCCCAGCCAGCUUACCAGCUGUUAGGAAUUGUGGGAGCUGAAGUUCAAAACAUCCGGUGGAGCACAGUUUGAGAAACACUGCCAUAGAGUCUUGCUGGAGGACCUAGCAAGUUUCUUCUCUAGGAAUCUCUUGGUCCUCUGGUGUAGUUCUGUGAUAUGCUGGAACUAGAAGUCAGGUAAUUUAAUAGUGUUCAGUCAUGUUUGGCUGGGAACAGAUCCACAGUGCUUGCAGGGAUCUUACUGUAUUUUAUUUCAUAUAGCACCAUGCAUUUAAAUGAUGGUAAUAUGAUGAUGAUGAAAUGAUCACAAUAACUCAGCACAUAUAUCUCUUCUGUAAGAUUUGACUAUUAUCUCUGUCUUCAGAGUUGUAUGAUAACUCCUUGAAAAACAACCCGAUUUUAACUACAGUGUUUAAAAGCUCUGGUCUAUUAUAUUCUGGGCAGCACACUACUUGAACUUACGUCAAGGAAAUACACAGGAUGACAGAGGACAGCAUAGCUGCAUGGAAAUAAUGCGAGCCUGAUUGUCAAGGGGGAAAGCCAGGAUGGAAGGCAUACUAUAUAAAACGAAAGAGGAAAACUUAACCAUAGCAGCAAUGCCAGCGAUUUUCUCAGAAAGGUGGCACCUGAUUUUAUUUAUACAGGCUAACAGUUGUCAACCUUUUCCAUUGAGUCAUACCAAGGAAUAACAAUGCCAUAAAAACAGAUGUUGGCAUGACCCAGUGAAGCAGACUCGGUGCUUGGGAAAGGCUUCAUGCUUGAGAAAUCAAUUCACAAAUUGUCUCCCUGAGUCUAAUUUUUUUUAAUCCAAAGUAUCUCUAGUUUUAUUAUACCAAAAUGCAUGCUUCUGUUAUUGAUGGUGGCUGUGGUGGUCGAGGGGAAGAAGGAAGAAGAGGAAGGACUGGUGAAGACCUUUUAAACAGAUGUCCAACCCUUAAGCAGUUUUCCACAUCUGUUGUCCCCAGACAUCCAAUGAAUUCAUAUCCUCUGCCCUAGCUGUUCCUGGCAAAUUUUAAAUUCUGGAAAGAAAAAAACGCAAUUAUGACUAGAUUAAAGCUGCAAUUCUGUACCAGUUUCCAGUGGGAGAGUAAGGCCUCAUCUACACCGACCAUUUAAUGUAAUUCAAAGCUAGCUUCAAAUUAAUGUACAUCAGUGCUCAGGGGUUUGUGUAACCACUAUCCAGGCCUCCAACUGGUACCAGGAUUUCUCAUGUAACCACCUGCACAGCAAAACAAGUUUCUUCAAUACUGGUUUGAAAGCAGUAAGUGGCUGGUGUAGAUGUGCCCUAAGUCCCACUGAGAACAGUGAAACGGAUUUCUGAAAGAUUUAUUUUUGCGUCACAGUACAAUUUAUUUAUUUAUUUAUUUACAGUAUUUAUAUUCCGCCUUCUCACCCCGAAGGGGACUCAGGGCGGAUCACAUUGCACAUAUAAGGCAAACAUUCUAUGCCAUAUUAUAGAACAGAGACAGAGACAGACGCAGGCAUGGGCGGGCCUCGAACUCAUGACCUCUUGGUCAGAGUGAUUUCUUGCAGCUGGCUGCUAAGCAGCCUGUGCCACAGCCCGGCCUACAAUGUCAUACAUGCCUUAUUUCUUGGGUAUGUGGCUAUAGCAUUUCAGCAUAAAUGAUACCAAAUGUAAAGUUCUUUGAUCCAAUAUAUAUUUUAAACAAUAUGAUCUGAUCCUUAAAGCCACAGUGAGCACUGGGGUCAAGUGGCAGCAGGCCCGGCCCAACACGGCACGCUGGCCACGCCCCCGCGUUGGGCGCCACCUUCCCAGGGGCGCUAUUGAGUUUGGAAAGGACUGCCCAGCUGAGCUGAAGUCCAGGCUGCUGGGGCUUGCCUCCUGGAGAUGCUUUGGAGGGCGCUGGGGCAAAGGAGCCUCGCUGAAGCUCUGGGCGGGCGCCCUUUGGGACAAAGCAGUGCCUCUCUUCCCCCGUUUGGCAGCAGAUGAGAGCCAGGUUGGCCUCCUUGGACCUGCUUCGGCUUCCCUCCCCUUUGCCUUUACAGCUGGAGAGCCAGGGCUGCCUGCACAUGCAAAAUGGAAAGGACACACGAAGUGGGAAAGGCCGGGUGGAUCUCUCCUACUUGUUCAGGAUGGGCUCCCAUUGGCUAUUUGGCGCUGUUUCAGCCGAUACUGGCCUCCCUCCCUCUCCCUGCCUGGAAGCCACGCCCCCUCCUGUUGCUUUCCUCCAUUAGCAGCAGCCAGGCCAGCAACGCGCGCCCUGCGAGUUACAGGAUUGGGUUGAAGGUCCAGGAUUCAAACCAUUGGUUACAUACUUGGAUUUAUAUCCCAUUUUACAAGUUCAAGAUCUCCAUCUCACCAUUUUAUCUUCAAAACAACUGUAUGAGGUAGGUCAAAUUGAGAAAAAAGUCCAAAAGUCCAAUGGUUACUCGUGUGCUCGUGGCUUGGUGGGGACUUAAAGAUGGAUCUUUCAAGUUCUGCUCCAAUGCAGUGCGGCUCCACACCUGGAGGGAUUCAGUUCCACAACCCCCUGUUGAUGCCAAAAAAAUGUGGACAGUAGCAUCCCAAAUUAUUAAAUGGAGGCAACAUGCAUGCGGAUGUUUCAAUGUAUCCAUGUGCAUAAUGCUGCUAAUUUGAAUAUGGGAUGUGGUGAUCCAUAAUUUGAAAUCAUUGAUCUGGAGCCCAUGGAUCAGGAAGACCCUAGUAUGCAAACCAUUACUACAUUUGUCAUCCAUCUAUCCAUCCAUGCAUUGAUUUGGUAUCCUCCCAUAAUUCCUCAAAAACAUAGGUUCAAAGCAGCUUAAAAAUGUAAAACAAUUAGCACCAGAGAAGAAAACAUACAAAAUACUGUUAUGAGGUAAUUUAUCUAUCCAUAACAUUAAAGUUCUUUGGAACAUCUAUAAAGAUAAAGAUAUAAAGAUGCUAAAAGGAAGAGUACUAUUUAAAUCCUUGUCUUACGAAUUUCAAAGCAAAUCAGAAUUAAAAAAAUGUUUUCUGGCCAACAGAAGGAUAACAAGGUGGGGUUCUGUCCAGAGGCGGUUCAACCACCAGGCCAAACUAGGCAGUUGCCUGUGGUGCCAUCUUGUUGGGGGCGCCAUCGAGGCAACUCCUGUCUCCUGCGGCAUGCCUCCGCAAGGUAUUGAACUGCUUUUUCUGUUGAUUUGUUGUAAAACAUGAUGUUUUAGUGUUUAAUUUGUAAAAUCUUAAUGCAAUUUGAUGUUUAAUAGGCUUUUCCUUAAUCCCUCCUUAUUAUCAAACAUUUUAGCUUAUCCAACGCUUUUAUUUUUCAGUGAUUGGUUUGGGGGGGGGGGCGCCAAAAUUCUGUUUGCCUACACUUGAAAAAUACCUAGGGCCGGCUCUGGUUCUGUCAAUCUUCCAAAGAAAGGACUGUCAGGACCUGGAGCAGCCAUUUUUCCUAUCAAAUAGUCCUUUCGGUAUUAGCUUUGUCUGGUGUAUUAUGGCUGAAUCAUGACACACACACACACUCACACUACAUAUGUCUGUGAAUAUCAAUGAAAAAGUUUGAAUAAGUAAAAACCGAUGGCACCUUUAGAGAAGUGAACAGUUUUGGUCCAGUUCUCAGGACUGCCAGAUUUCAACGGUCCUCUUAUUUAACACUUAGGGCAGUGAUUCUCAACCUGUGCGUCCCCAGAUGUUUUGGCCUUCCACUCCCAGAAAUCCUAACAGUUAGUAAACUGGCUGGAAUUUCUGGGAGUUGUAGGCCAAAACAUUCGGGGACCCACAGGUUGAGAGCCACUGCCUUAGCGUGUGGGAGGGAAAUCUCAGGGGAAGAGUUCUGUUUCAAAAUGAUGCUCAGCAGGCCCCAUCUUAAAGAAGAAAAGGGGGCACCAAAAAGCCCAGUGUGAAGAGGUCCUGUAUUCACCAAAGUUACCCAGUAGUUUUUAAUAGGACUUUGCAGUCAAAUUGGAGUUUGGUCUGCAUUUAAUAAGCCUUCUUUCCUGUGGUUAUGUCAUGGUUAAUAAUUCAACAGCUGCCAGCUAACAGAGAAAAAGUAGUGUCUCUGCAUUUUUCCAGUAGAUUGGCAAGAUGUUAUGAAACUUUGGUUUGCUGUAUCCACUCAGCAAUUCUGAGCCAUGUCAUCAUUACCGUAAUUCAGGCCCCACCAAAGUGAAAUAAACUUAUUAAAAGCAGUUACCAAUCAAAAUGAAUCACUAUUGGGAACAUUGUUUCAUAUGUGUAUGUGUGUGUAAAGUUUCCAUGCUAAUCCUUUCUACCCCCACUCCAUCCCAGUGGAAAACUUGUUGAGUUAUUCAAAUGUAUUACAUAAGCCUGCUUUUAAUGUUUUGCUACACUUGGGAUUCUUCUGACAAAUGGACUAUAUUGAAUAUUUGCUAGUGACAGAGAGAUGGUAGAAAGAGCGAAUGAAGUUAGACAUACUUGCUCAAAUUUACUCAAGUAGGUCUAACUUUAUUAUUGGAAGAGUCAAAAGUUGUUAGAUUUGAUUUCAAGGUUGAUCCCAUGGUUCUGUGCACUAAGGAUAUCCCUUGAUCUUCUCUUUUUCUUUCCCAAACACAUAAAUGCAUACCAGGGUGCUGAAGUUUCAUAUUCCAAUAAACAGAUGUCAGAUGAUUUCACAAUUUGAAAAUAAAAUUGUUGAAAUCAAGUUCCCUUUCCACAGGAAGGAGCAACAGGAGAACUAUUGGAAAGAACGAGUUACAAAAAAGGGUACAGACAGACCCUGAGUUACAAACAUCCAACUUACACAUGACUCCUUGUUACAAACGGGGGUGAGACAAUAAGAAGUAAGAGAACAUCUACCUCCUGAAAGAGUUAUCAUGGGAGAAGAGGUCUCUACUGAAGUUUUUUCAUCAAUCCUUGUUUCCAUGACAACCCAAAAUGUUCAAAAUCCAAUUAUCACAGGGACAGAAAGUGAGCUGAAGUCUUCUGAACAGGAUCACAGACAGCCAAACAAAUGUUGGAUGGUGUUAACCCUUCCCUAUGCUAUCCAAAACUAAAAACAUUUUUUUGGCUGGAAUUACACUGAAAAAAGUUAGUGUUGAGAUUUACAUACAAAUUCAUCUUAAGACCAAACCUACACAACUUAUCUUGUUCGUAACCCAGGGACUGCCUAUCCAUCCAAGUUACAUUUCUUGAGUAACAUAACGGAUAAGAGAAGCAUGAUUUAGUGAUAUAAAGAGCAGCAUUCUCAAGUUUACUUUUGGAAAGUUCCCUCCUCAGGGGAGCAGCAGCAGUGUGCACAUGGAAGUCCAUUUGUGGAGCCUGGGAUGUUGUCAUUAGCAAUGGAAAUAUGUUUGUUUAUACCUGCUCUUGUUGGCUUUGUGAUUGAUUAAUAUGAACAUUGUAUAUGUGCAGUAGAGCUGGGGAGGUAUGCUGAUAUUUAUGAAUGCUAAAGGUUUCUGUGCUUUGACAGUCUGUUAUAUAGGUUAACCAAGUUUUUACUUCAUUUGUGAGAGCGAGACAGCAAUUACAAUUUGUGGGUAGACAGCCUAAGCACUCUGAUCUGCCCUGUAGGUCCAUGGUAUUCUUUGCUGCAGAUGAGUGAAAAGAUUAUUUUCAAGAGAUAGAGAGAGCAAAUGCAACAAUCUUAAAUGGAAAUUAAAACCUUAUAUUUAAUGGCUAAGAGAUCGGAAUUGCUGAGAGACAGCAUUGGUUUCCUCUGUGCUCUUUAUCUAUAUCCACCUAUUCAUUUUCAAGGGCGACAUUGGAGUUUGUAUAAUAGAAAACAGAAAACAUCACUUGUAAAUGAAUAAAUGUUUUGGAUACUGUAGGAAUUUUUGUGUACUCUUAACAGACUCCGGAAGCCCUGUCUCAAAAGCAAUUUUAGCAGCAAUUUAUUAAAAAGCUGUUUUAUUAUACAAUACACUCAAAUUGAUAGCUAAUGACCAGUCAGCUCUUGGACUCUUCGUGUUAUAAGCAUCUGGUCCACAUAACAUAUUGUCAUUUUAAAAUCCGUGUUAGAGUUUGGUGGGUUUGAGAUUUAAGAUCAUAUAUCUGUACAGGUCGCAGGUUCAAAUCCCGGGAGCAGAGUGAGCGCCCGCUGUUAGCUCCAGCUUCUGCCAACCUAGCAGUUCGAAAACAUGUCAAUGUGAUUAGAUCAAUAGGUACCACUCCGGCGGGAAGGUAACAGCGCUCCAUGCAGUCAUGCCGGCCACAUGACCUUGGAGGUGUCUAUGGACAACACCGGCUCUUCGGCUUAAAACUGGAGAUGAGCACCAACCCCCAGAGUCAGACAUGACUGGACUUAACAUCAGGGGAAACCUUUACCUUUACUAUCUGUACAAAUAUACCUGUACUCAUGUGACAGUAUCCAAUAUGGAAUAAAGGUAUGUGUGUAUGUGCCCUCACGUUGUAUGUUGACUGUGCAGAUUUAACAGAAGAGUUUAUAAAAAAUUUAACAGGUUUAUAUGACUACAAUUUAAUGGAGUAGUCCAGAUUAUGAAGAAGAUUUAAUAAGAGAACUUCCUAUAUCCCAGUGGCAGCACAAUCCUUUUAAAAGAGCACCCCAAUUGCCUAAAUUUCUUCUGUUUAGGAUCAAAGUAGACAUGAAGAGGAAUGGAAUGUCCUUCCCCAAUCAGAUUUCCAUCAAAGACAUGUGCGUCAACAAUUACACUUGCAAAUGAAGGUGGUUUUUAUUUUCCAAUGUUUUGAAAAAAGCAUACAAAAUGCAAAAUGCCUAGCCAAAGAAAACCAUGCCCUACAACAAAGAUAUAUAUAUUACACCAUUUGCCUUUUCUAAAUAAAUUGUAAACAGAUUAACUAUUUAAAUUCCUAAUCUGAGUCGAUUUUUGUGGAGCAAAGAAGUGGGGCAAUGAUCCUGCCUGCCUACCCUAAAUCAUGCCCUUGAAAAUCCAAAAGUCAAAUCAACUUUGAAAAUAAUAUGUAUUGGCCAGUAGAGUGCCUUUUUCUUCUUCUUUCUAAGCUAUUUUCCCAGUGGAAGGGUUAGCAUUGUGAUUGUCAUUUCCACAGGGUUUUAUUUUGGGCAUUCUCAGGUCUUGGGUUGGCAGCAUGCAUGUCUUCGUUAAUGGUGUCUGUCCAUCUUUUAUUUGCCCAUCCAAAAAUCUGACCCCACCUCCCAGUAGUGCCAGCUGGAUAACUAACCAAUGGGGAAAUGGUCUGCAGUAGUAGGUGGUGUGACGAGCCAGCUGCAGUACAAAUGGUCACAUCAACCAUGAAACUGUCAAAACCAUGAAUCCCUAAUACAGCUAGGGCAUCCCCCUCAGGUGACUUCCACCAUUGACCCCCAGGGGUAAAAAGAGCCAGUCAGGGCUACCCAUCCAAGGAUGAGAUAGGCUAAAGAAGUUAGUUCCAUUACAUUUAGCAACCUUAAACAUAGGAACACUAACCGGACAAACCCAUGAAUUGGCAAAUGCCUUAAAAAGUUUCAAAGUUGACCUGGCUUGUCUUCAAGAGAUAAAAUGGAAGGAAAGUCAAGCUAGGGACACUGGUGAAGGAUACAAGCUAUAUUAUCAUGGCACUAACACAAAGUGCCUUCUAUUGCAGUUAAUUAAAAGCAUGAAUAAUCUUCAUGAUUAAUUUCUAAUUUAUGAAUUCCAAUACUUUAAAACGGAUACAACACAUGGGGCAAAUGAAGGCAUCAUCUCCCAAUUAAAAAUAUGAUGCAGUCCCCCAAUUUCUAGCAUUGCCAAGAGUGAGACUUUGAAAAUCACUCACAUCUUUAACUAUUCCAUUUACUGUGUUUGCACUCCGUGGAGCUUGGACUAUCUCUUUCCUUUAGAUGUGCAAACUGUCUAAAUGCUCAGCUGAAGUUCUAAGUUACUGCAAUGCUAGAAAUGCGGGGACUGAAGGAAAAGACAUCCUAAAGACAGCCAAGCCUCCCUAACUAUGUCCCUGUUCUGAUGGAAUUUGAUGGCCAAAGAAACAUCAAGUAUAAUGACUGAUACUCCAAAUCUUUCUCCCUCCACACCCUUUUCUUCAUCAUUGCUCCCCACCUGUAAAAAUAUAUUUCUGCACCCCUGUGUACAAAUAAGAAUACACAGUCAAACUAGGUGUCUUUCCAGCAAAUGGAAAAGGUCAGAGCAAUAAGUCAAAAACAAACUGUUGGGCCUCAGGGCAAGCAGUCACCUCCUGCUGUAGCAGGGGAAGUGUUGGCAGGUGAUUAGAUAAGAAGUUUAAAUCUAAAGGAGAAUAAAAACCUUUAUUUUGGGGUCUAUGAGAGGAAGUGAAAAAUCUGCUGCUACAACAAAGGUCAGCCAAGGUAACAUGGAAGGAGGCCUAGCCAUGUGCUGGAAUUGUGUUAAAAGUCAAGCCAGAGUUUGGAAUUUUCCUUGCUUGAAAACACAUUGCCAAAAAAAUAGUGUAGCACAGAUGUUGUAGAAUAGAUACUGACUCAUUAGGAAAGGAAACAAUCACAUAUGUUGUUGCUGAACAAAAUGCAGUCAAUGUAAUGUUUUUGGUUCCUUGAUGCACUGUACUUUUAAAAAAUUGUCUUCACUAUUUUCAUUUUGGAUGGCUACCUCCCCAAUCUAGUCCAAGAUGUACACCACAGUCUUGCUUCUUCUACACCAAAAACAUUAUGGUAACACAAUUAAAAUUUAUUAUUACAUUCAGAAACAAAUGUCUGUUAAUAGACAAGCUAAGCUUAUCAUUGGGAAAAUCAGGUCUUGAAUCUGUGAUUUAACCUAGAGGGCUACCACAGAAUUUGUAUGGUGAAGCAUUGAAAGCCCUUUCAGGCACAGAAGCAUUCUAGACUUUAAAAAAAUCUUCACCUACCAACAGAGGAACAACAUGGAAGCAGUCAAUGUAGCCUCUCCAGGAGGGGGAUUUCAGAGUUUGGGGGCAGUCACCGAGAAACCUCCACCCCUUUUACCCAUUUUAUAGGAGUUGUUACAAAUGGCAUUUAUGACAUGAAGUUACAAUAUCCAAUGAAUUUCAUGACACUGUCAUUUCCCUUUCACUAGAAAAAGCAAAUAUAUAUUAUGGAAAGUUCCAGUUGCAGAAGUUGAUAGAGAACAAAGGACUCCGUCUUCCACUGCUUCUGUCUCCUCUUCCUUUCUCCUCUAAAGACUAGCAGCACAACCCACCAAGCAUUGUCUGAUCCCCCUAAACGAGUGGGAAUUAUGCAGCAGCAGCAUUCAGAAGUCUCCAGUGUAAAUAUUUACUUCUCAUGAUUGCAGAGAAAAUGCAAAGAAAAACAGUUACUGGAAGGUUUUUAAAAAGAGCAUAAUUUUAAUGGUUUUUAACUAUAACCAUUUUUUACACUUCUGGCAUUAGAAAUGCAAUUUUGUUCCAGUAUUAUUUGCAAAACAUGAAGCACGUGAUACUUGUUUUCUUACUAUAUUAAUUGAAGAAAGAUUUAAUCCAGACAUGAAACAAUCUGUUUUAACCUUUAGAUUUGCAGAAAAUUCCUUCCUGACUGUCAUACUGGUGAGAAUUUGUGUUGUGUUCUCAUGUUUCUUAUAGAGAUUUCAAUAUAGGUGUUGCAAAAUCAUUGCAUUGCAUGGCUUUUCGGAUGUCCUUCCAUGUUUUGUCAGAUUUAGCCUGUAGUAAUGUUUUCUAACUCAUCCACUUUUGCUAUAAUGUACAUUCAAACUGAUGCCAACUUAAGGUGAUCUUAUCAUAAAGUUGUCUUGGCAAGAUUUAUUUAAAAUCCCCAGAGGUUUGUCAUUGCCCUUCUCUCAAACUGAAAGUCUGACUCAAGGUUAUCCACUUGAUUUCCAUGACGAGUAGGGAUUUGUUCUCCUUGUUCUCCCAAAGUCCUACUCCAUUCAGACCAAGUACCUCAAAUUGAUCCUCAUCCACUUUAGAUAUGCAAAACCACUAC